rnacentral:rRNA from 1 species
AUUUGAUGCCUGGCAGUUCCCUACUCUCGCAUGGGGAGACCCCACACUACCAUCGGCGCUACGGCGUUUCACUUCUGAGUUCGGCAUGGGGUCAGGUGGGACCACCGCGCUANNNNNNNNNNNNNNNNNNNNUCAGGUGGGACCACCGCGCUACUGCCGCCAGGCAAAUUCUGUUAUCAGACCGUUUUUACGUUCUGAUGUAAUCUGAAUCAGUGCUGAAAAUCGUCUCUCAUCCGCNNNNNNNNNNNNNNNNNNNNGAAUCAGUGCUGAAAAUCGUCUCUCAUCCGCCAAAACAUCUUCGGCGUUGUAAGGUUAAGCCUCACGGUUCAUUAGUACCGGUUAGCUCAACGCAUCGCUGCGCUUACACACCCGGCCUAUCAACGUCGUCGUCUUCAACGUUCCUUCAGGAGACCUAAAGUCUCAGGGAGAACUCAUCUCGGGGCAAGUUUCGUGCUUAGAUGCUUUCAGCACUUAUCUCUUCCGCAUUUAGCUACCGGGCAGUGCCAUUGGCAUGACAACCCGAACACCAGUGAUGCGUCCACUCCGGUCCUCUCGUACUAGGAGCAGCCCCCCUCAGUUCUCCAGCGCCCACGGCAGAUAGGGACCGAACUGUCUCACGACGUUCUAAACCCAGCUCGCGUACCACUUUAAAUGGCGAACAGCCAUACCCUUGGGACCUACUUCAGCCCCAGGAUGUGAUGAGCCGACAUCGAGGUGCCAAACACCGCCGUCGAUAUGAACUCUUGGGCGGUAUCAGCCUGUUAUCCCCGGAGUACCUUUUAUCCGUUGAGCGAUGGCCCUUCCAUUCAGAACCACCGGAUCACUAUGACCUGCUUUCGCACCUGCUCGCGCCGUCACGCUCGCAGUCAAGCUGGCUUAUGCCAUUGCACUAACCUCCUGAUGUCCGACCAGGAUUAGCCAACCUUCGUGCUCCUCCGUUACUCUUUAGGAGGAGACCGCCCCAGUCAAACUACCCACCAGACACUGUCCGCAACCCGGGUAACGGGUCCACGUUAGAACAUCAAACAUUAAAGGGUGGUAUUUCAAGGUCGGCUCCAUGCAGACUGGCGUCCACACUUCAAAGCCUCCCACCUAUCCUACACAUCAAGGCUCAAUGUUCAGUGUCAAGCUAUAGUAAAGGUUCACGGGGUCUUUCCGUCUUGCCGCGGGUACACUGCAUCUUCACAGCGAGUUCAAUUUCACUGAGUCUCGGGUGGAGACAGCCUGGCCAUCAUUACGCCAUUCGUGCAGGUCGGAACUUACCCGACAAGGAAUUUCGCUACCUUAGGACCGUUAUAGUUACGGCCGCCGUUUACCGGGGCUUCGAUCAGGAGCUUCGCUUGCGCUGACCCCAUCAAUUAACCUUCCGGCACCGGGCAGGCGUCACACCGUAUACGUCCACUUUCGUGUUUGCACAGUGCUGUGUUUUUAAUAAACAGUUGCAGCCAGCUGGUAUCUUCGACUGACUUCAGCUCCAUGAGUAAAUCACUUCACCUACGUGUCAGCGUGCCUUCUCCCGAAGUUACGGCACCAUUUUGCCUAGUUCCUUCACCCGAGUUCUCUCAAGCGCCUUGGUAUUCUCUACCUGACCACCUGUGUCGGUUUGGGGUACGAUUUGAUGUUACCUGAUGCUUAGAGGCUUUUCCUGGAAGCAGGGCAUUUGUUGCUUCAGCACCGUAGUGCCUCGUCGUCACGCCUCAGUGUUAAAGUGAACCGGAUUUACCUGGAACACACACCUACACGCUUAAACCGGGACAACCGUCGCCCGGCCAACAUAGCCUUCUCCGUCCCCCCNNNNNNNNNNNNNNNNNNNNCCCCCCUUCGCAGUAACACCAAGUACGGGAAUAUUAACCCGUUUCCCAUCGACUACGCCUUUCGGCCUCGCCUUAGGGGUCGACUCACCCUGCCCCGAUUAACGUUGGACAGGAACCCUUGGUCUUCCGGCGAGCGGGCUUUUCACCCGCUUUAUCGUUACUUAUGUCAGCAUUCGCACUUCUGAUACCUCCAGCAACCCUCACAGGCCNNNNNNNNNNNNNNNNNNNNCCCAACAACACCUGAGUGUCGCUGCCGCAGCUUCGGUGCAUGGUUUAGCCCCGUUACAUCUUCCGCGCAGGCCGACUCGACCAGUGAGCUAUUACGCUUUCUUUAAAUGAUGGCUGCUUCUAAGCCAACAUCCUGGCUGUCUGGGCCUUCCCACAUCGUUUCCCACUUAACCAUGACUUUGGGACCUUAGCUGGCGGUCUGGGUUGUUUCCCUCUUCACGACGGACGUUAGCACCCGCCGUGUGUCUCCCGUGAUAACAUUCUCCGGUAUUCGCAGUUUGCAUCGGGUUGGUAAGCCGGGAUGGCCCCCUAGCCGAAACAGUGCUCAGCUAUCUCCCGGUUUGAUUGGCCUUUCACCCCCAGCCACAGGUCAUCCGCUAAUUUUUCAACAUUAGUCGGUUCGGUCCUCCAGUUAGUGUUACCCAACCUUCAACCUGCCCAUGGCUAGAUCACCGGGUUUCGGGUCUAUACCCUGCAACUUAACGCCCGGUUAAGACUCGGUUUCCCUCCGGCUCCCCUAUACGGUUAACCUUGCUACAGAAUAUAAGUCGCUGACCCAUUAUACAAAAGGUACGCAGUCACACAGGUAAACCUGUGCUCCCACUGCUUGUACGUACACGGUUUCAGGUUCUUUUUCACUCCCCUCGCCGGGGUUCUUUUCGCCUUUCCCUCACGGUACUGGUUCACUAUCGGUCAGUCAGGAGUAUUUAGCCUUGGAGGAUGGUCCCCCCAUAUUCAGACAGGAUACCACGUGUCCCGCCCUACUCAUCGAGCUCACAGCACAUGCGCUUUUGUGUACGGGGCUGUCACCCUGUAUCGCGCGCCUUUCCAGACNNNNNNNNNNNNNNNNNNNNCCCCGUUCGCUCGCCGCUACUGGGGGAAUCUCGGUUGAUUUCUUUUCCUCGGGGUACUUAGAUGUUUCAGUUCCCCCGGUUCGCCUCAUUAACCUAUGGAUUCAGUUAAUGAUAGUGUGACGAAUCACACUGGGUUUCCCCAUUCGGAAAUCGCCGGUUAUAACGGUUCAUAUCACCUUACCGGCGCUUAUCGCAGAUUAGCACGUCCUUCAUCGCCUCUGACUGCCAGGGCAUCCACCGUGUACGCUUAGUCGCUUAACCUCACAACCCGAAGAUGUUUCUUACGAUUCAUCAUCGUGUUGCGAAAAUUUGAGAGACUCACGAACAACUUUCGUUGUUCUGUGUUUCAAUUUUCAGCUUGAUCCAGAUUUUUAAAGAGCAAANNNNNNNNNNNNNNNNNNNNUUCAGCUUGAUCCAGAUUUUUAAAGAGCAAA